CACGCCGUAAACGAUGGAUACUAGGUGUGGGAGGUAUCGACCCCUUCCGUGCCGCAGUUAACACAAUAAGUAUCCCACCUGGGGAGUACGGCCGCAAGGUUGAAACUCAAAGGAAUUGACGGGGGCCCGCACAAGCAGUGGAGUAUGUGGUUUAAUUCGAAGCAACGCGAAGAACCUUACCAGGGCUUGACAUCCAAGGAAUCUGCUAGAGAUAGCGGAGUGCCCUUCGGGGAACCUUGAGACAGGUGG
rnacentral:rRNA from 1 species